ACUUCUGCCUAGCGUAAUAUAUUAGCGGCCGCAGUACCUUGACUGUGCUAAGGUAGCAUAAUCAAUUGGCUUUUAAUUGAAGUCUGGAAUGAAUGGGAAAAUAAGAAAAAACUGUCUCAAAUAAAAUUAAUUGAAUUUAUUUAAUAAGUGAAAAUACUUAUAAAAAGAAAAAAGACGAGAAGACCCUAAGAAUUUUUAUUAAUUGUUUUUAUCCUAAAAUCUUUAUUUUUGUUGGGGCGACAUUGAAUCAUUUGAACAUUUAUUACAACAACUAAACACUUAGAUUUAAAAGAGCAAAUUACCUUAGGGAUAACAGCAUAAUUUUGUUUAAAGUUUGUGACCUCGAUGUUGGACUAGGAACUAAAUGACUAACCGUUAAUAUAGAUUGUUCUGUUCGAACAGAAAUUCCU
rnacentral:rRNA from 1 species